GCCUUAAGACACUGCAUUGUUUGGUCAAAAACUGACCCACCAUCUGAUCUCCUCAAGCUAAGCAGGGUUGGGCCUGGUUAGUACUUGGAUGGGAGACGACCUAGAAAGACCAGGUGCUAUAGGUG
rnacentral:rRNA from 1 species